GACGAACGCUGGCGGCGUGCUUAACACAUGCAAGUCGAACGGUAAGGCCCUUCGGGGUACACGAGUGGCGAACGGGUGAGUAACACGUGGGUGAUCUGCCCUGCACUUCGGGAUAAGCCUGGGAAACUGGGUCUAAUACCGGAUAGGACCACUGCCUGCAUGGGUGGUGGUGGAAAGCUUUUGCGGGGUGGGAUGGGCCCGCGGCCUAUCAGCUUGUUGGUGGGGUGAUGGCCUACCAAGGCGACGACGGGUAGCCGGCCUGAGAGGGUGACCGGCCACACUGGGACUGGGAUACGGCCCAGACUCCUACGGGAGGCAGCAGUGGGGAAUAUUGCACAAUGGGCGCAAGCCUGAUGCAGCGACGCCGCGUGAGGGAUGACGGCCUUCGGGUUGUAAACCUCUUUCAGCAUCGACGAAGCGCAAGUGACGGUAGGUGCAGAAGAAGGACCGGCCAACUACGUGCCAGCCGCCGCCGUAA
rnacentral:rRNA from 1 species